AUCCGGUCCCCGGGGGAGCGUUACCGUCACGCUUGAGAGGAAGGCCACAGCCUUCGACCCGCUGAACCUGAUCCGGCUGACACCGGCGUAGGGAGGGAGCGGCAGCCCCGC
rnacentral:ncRNA from 2 species